rnacentral:lncRNA from 10 species
GCCAGGGUGUGAUCUGUUGGCGGGCCGGGGUGUGAUCUGUUGGCGGGCCGGGGUGUGAUCUGUCGGCGCUCUGUGAUCUGUCAGCGGCCUGGGGUGUGAUCUCUCAGCGGGCUGGGGUGCCUGUGCGGUGAUCUGUUUGCGGGCUGGGGUGUGAGCUGUCGGCGGUCUGGGGUGUGAUCUGUCGGCGGUCUGGGGUGUGAUCUGUCGGCGGUCUGGGGUGUGAUCUGUCAGCGGGCUGGGGUGUGAUCUGUCUAUGGGCCAGGGUGUGAUCUGUUGGUGGGCUGCAGUGUGAUCUGUCGGGCUGGGGUGUGAUCUGUCCGCGGGCCGGGGUGGGAUCUGUUGGUGGGCUGCGGUGGGACCUGUCAGCGGGCUGGGGUGUGAUCUGUCAGCGGGCUGGGGUGUGAUCUGUGGGUGGGCUGGGGUGCCUGUGCAGUGACAGUCUGCUGUGCACUGGGGGGUUGGAAGGUCGAGGCCACUGGUGACAGAGGGGAAGCUCCUGAGAGGUUUACUUAAAAGUAAAUGAGGGAUGUUGUUUGGCCUUUGCCCAUUUUGACCAACCAGCUUAUUGUUUUUUUCUUGCAACAACAAAAUACACACAUAGCUAUAGACACAUUUUAAUUAUAGAAAGGAUUGCAGGGAAAAUACCUUUAUUAUUGUGAGUCUAAAAUUCUUUAGCCUUUAACUCACUUUUUUCCCGUUGAAAUAAUUGUUUUUUUAAUGUGGUGUUUGAAACACCUAUGUUUUUAGAAGUUGAAAUACAGCAGAAUAGAUGCUCUUUUUAUACAUACGUGUGUGUGUAGGUAUGUAUCUAUACACACGUGUGUACACUGAUAUACAUACACAUAUAUGUAAUUUUAAAAAUAGGAUCGUAUUAAACAUAUGAUCUUACAUUUUGCAUUCUUUAUUUAAUAGCACAUUCUAAGUAUUUCCUGAGGCAUUACAUAUUCUUCGAAUAAUGCCUCAAGUAUUCUGUUAUAUGGAUGAAGCAUAUUAUUCAUCUACCUAUUCCAUUCUUUUUUUUUUUUUUUUUUUUUUUUUUUUAAAGACAGACAGAGUCUUGCCCGGUCCCCCAGGCUGGAGUGUAGUGUCGUGAUCUCAGCUCACUGCAGCCUCUGCCUCCUGGGUUUGAGUGAUCCUCCCAGCUCAGCCUCCUGAAUAGCUGGGCGUGCACCACCAUGCCCAGCUAAUUUUUGUAUAGUUGUAGACACUGGGCCUUGCCAUGUUGCCCAGGCUGGUCUUGAACUCCUGGGCUCAAGAGAUCUGCCGGCCUCAGCCUCUGAAAGUGCUGGGAUUACAUGUGUGAGCCACCGCGCCUGGCCCCUCUUUUUCACAUUUUAAGUUGCUUCCAAUUUUCUUCUACUAUAAAAAAUGUGAUAAACAUAUAGUAUAUGACUCUGUCCACAUCUCUCACAUUUUCUUACAGUCGACUUUAGACAUAAUGACCUUCAUGAAGUUUUCAUAAACAUUAUCAAUAGCGUAAUAAAUCCCCCAAUACAAUGGCUGGUGCACAGCAGGCAUUCAAGAAUUGUUACCUAUAAAUAGGAAAUCAAGUAGGUGAGAGAACAGACCAAUUCUGUCACAGCAGAGGGCUGGGAAAGAUAUCUGCUCCACCUCUUCAGGGCAGGAUGUAACUGGGCAGUCUAGGGUAAGAGGGAUGAGAAGAAAUGGGGAUGCUUUUGCUCCCCAGUGCAGGUGGACCUGCCAAUACCUAGAAUGAAAUGAUUCCUUGCUUUGAACCAAACAUGCCAAUACUACCCUCUCUGACACCCUCUCAGAUGUGCCCUCUCCUUGGUCCUUAGGAUCUCCUGUAAGCACUCAUCUUCAUCAGGGGAGGUGGGGAUUCCAAUGGCAUUGAGUACACACUUGAUUCAGAGCCUUCAUGCAGCUGAAACUGUGAUCAGAGAACAAACAACAUGAAUCACCAUGUUCUCAAAGAUGAUUUAUUGGCUAUCCUCACUCAUGGGAAAAAGAAAAACGUAAAUGAAAUCAAAACAAAACAAGAUGAAAAUUGAUACAAA